rnacentral:tRNA from 1 species
GCGAGUGUAGUACAAUGGUAGUACAUCUGCUUCCCAAGCAGAAAACGGGAGUUCAAUUCUCCUCACUCGCU